GAUGAACGCUGGCGGCGUGCCUAAUACAUGCAAGUCGAGCGAGCAGACGAGGAGCUUGCUCCCCUGACGUUAUCGGCGGACGGGUGAGUCACAUGUGGAUAACCUACCUAUAAGACUGGGAUAACUUCGGGAAACCGGAGCUAAUACCGGAUAAUAUAUUGAACCGCAUUGUUCACUAGUUAAAGACGGUUUUGCUGUCAGUUAUAGCCUGAUCCGCGCCGCAUUAGCUAGUUGGUAAGGUAACGGCUUACCAAGGCAACGAUGCGUAGCCGACCUGAGAGGGUGAUCGGCCACACUGGAACUGAGACACGGUCCAGACUCCUACGGGAGGCAGCAGUAGGGAAUCUUCCGCAAUGGGCGAAAGCCUGACGGAGCAACGCCGCGUGAGUGAUGAAGGUCUUCGGAUCGUAAAACUCUGUUAUUAGGGAAGAACAAAUGUGUAAGUAACUAUGCACGUCUUGACGGUACCGAAUCAGAAAGCCACGGCUAACUACGUG
rnacentral:rRNA from 1 species